rnacentral:rRNA from 1 species
GUGGGGAAUAUUGGACAAUGGGCGAAAGCCUGAUCCAGCCAUGCCGCGUGUGUGAAGAAGGUCUUCGGAUUGUAAAGCACUUAAAGUUGGGAGGAAGGGCAGUAAGUUAAUACCUUGCUGUUUUGACGUUACCGACAGAAUAAGCACCGGCUAACUUCGUGCCAGCAGCCGCGGUAAUACGAAGGGUGCAAGCGUUAAUCGGAAUUACUGGGCGUAAAGCGCGCGUAGGUGGUUUUGUAAGUUGGAGGUGAAAUCCCCGGGCUCAACCUGGGAACUGCCUCCAAAACUGCAUGACUAGAGUACGGUAGAGGGUAGUGGAAUUUCCUGUGUAGCGGUGAAAUGCGUAGAUAUAGGAAGGAACACCAGUGGCGAAGGCGACUACCUGGACUGAUACUGACACUGAGGUGCGAAAGCGUGGGGAGCAAACAGGAUUAGAUACCCCGGUAGUCC